GUGUCAACAUCUGGGAAACUAACUUCUGAAUCUAUUACAUACAGUUGGCAUUAUUUUUAUAGUGCUAGAUUUCAAGGUUUAAUUAGUCACCAUAGGCACAGGAGGAAAGUCCUGAAAUUUAAAAUUGAGGAGCACUUCAUGUCAACAGCACCAAAUUUAUAAUUUGUAAACUUUUGAAGAGAAAUUGGGCAAGGCAGGGGCGGAGCAAGGGUUAGGUAUAGGGAGUG